CGAAACACCGAUUCUCGUAAGAUCACCGAAGUUAAGCUCCGUUGAGUUUGGUCAGUACCUCGAUGUGUGACCACUUGGGAAUAACAGAUCCUGCAA